GUGACUAAUUAAGAGUGGUCAGCAAAUUCAGAGAGAGAGAGAGAGAGAGAGAGAGCAGGGAAGCAUGGAUAUGGUGGGUGAUUGUAUGUGGUGGGGUGUGCUACCUUUUGCAGCCAUGGUAAUGGUGGAGUUCACAGAUGUGGGCAUAUCAACUCUGAGCAAAGCAGCAAUGUCCAGAGGAAUGAGCACUUAUGUUUUUGUUGUGUACUCUAAUGCCCUUGCCACCCUCCUUCUCCUUCCUUGUUUCAUUUUCCAAAAGAAGCCGGUUUCUCAUACUCUUCCACUCCUUUCUGGGUUUUACCUCCUUGGCCUAAUUGGGAGUUCGAGUCUGAUAUUGGCAUAUAAUGGCAUCAACUACAGCUCCCCAACAGUUGCAUCAGCAAUGGGAAAUCUUAUACCGAUUUACACAUUUGUGCUGGCAAUCAUUUUCAGGAUUGAAAAACUAGACUUAAGGAGAUCAAGCAGUCAAGCAAAAUUGUUGGGAACUAUAGUAUCAGUAUCUGGGGCAUUUGUAGUAAUUCUUUACAAGGGCUCAGCAAUCUUAAAGUUCAAGGCUUUAUCACCAUCCAACUUCCCUCCCCACCAGAACUUGAUCACCUCACAACAGACAAAGUGGAUCUUUGGAGGUCUUUUCCUUGCCUUGUCUUGCCUUUUGGCUGCAAUAUGGAACAUUGUUCAGGCAUCCAUUGUUAACAACUGUCCAUCAAAGGUGACCCUAGUAUUCUUCUACACCUUCUUUGUGACAAUCCAAUGUACAAUAUUUUCACUGAUUGUGGAAAGAAAUCCAAAUUCCUGGACAUUAAGGCCCAACAUCGAGAUGAUCGCCAUUGUCUGCUCAGCUGUAUUUGGGAGUGUCUUUCGGAUUGGUGUUCAUACUUGGUGCUUGCACCAAAAAGGGCCUAUCUUUGUAGCCAUGUUCAGGCCCUUCGGAGUUGCCAUUGCAGCAGUCAUGGUGGUCAUCUUCCUAGGCGAAGCACUUCACCUUGGCAGUGUGAUUGGAUCUGUCAUUGUUGCAAUUGGAUUCUAUGCUAUGAUGUGGGGACAAAUCAAAGAAAAGAGCAUUGUGAUGGAGAAUGAAGUCCACAGCUUGGCAUCAUCCACCCAACAGACCCCUCUUUUGCAAUGUAGAACCUCAGAAGAUAUAUGACAAAGAAACUUGCAAUAUUUCAUUCAUGGAUCGGAUAAGCAAGAGGAGGAGCUAUAAUUAUAAAUGAACUAUAUCCUUCUCAUUAAACUGUAUUUUCUUAAAUCACUGUGGAGAUCACAAUGAAAGAUGAUCGCCCUUAUCUGUGCAGCUAUAUUUGGGAGUAUCUUUCGUGUCGGUGUUCAUACGUGAUGCUUAGCGUUCGAAAAAUCGGCCUAGGCGCUAGGCGGCCUGGGCGGGUCGGGUCAUUUUUUUAUUCCUGACUUCAAAGAAAACCUCACUCUGCCUCUCUCUCCUCUCCUCUGAGCCGUCGGCUCCUUCUCUAUCUAUCUCUCACGAGUCACGACAGAUCACCACCAGCAGGCCUCCACCCGCGACGACCACCACCAAACUUUUGAAGAGCAGAGUUGUGACAUUUUGUAGCAACAAAAAAAAAAUCAGUUAAAAAGAUUGAUUGUUGUAAAAUAUCUAGAAACUAUAAAUUCCUUCAUAUAUAGGUGAUGUACAGUUGUUCACAGAUGAUGUAUGUAUCAGCAGCUCAAAUAAUAAUGGCGUAUUGUAAUCGGUUUGCGUGCCACUGCGGAUAUUGAAGACUUGCAGCUUGCUCUGCCAUUAUCUUGCGAUUAAUCUUGCAUCUCUAAG